UUCCUCAGUAGCUCAGUGGUAGAGCGGUCGGCUGUUAACCGAUUGGUCGCUGGUUCGAAUCCAGCCUGGGGAGU
rnacentral:tRNA from 1 species